GGGGGAGGGCGGAGGGAGCGGAGCGCCGCGGCCGGGCGGAGCGGGGGGUUCCCUUUAGGCGGCGCGGGCCGGCAGCGGGAGGAGGAGGGGGAGGCCGGGCCCGAGGGAAGGCGGAGAAGGGAAGGAGCGAGGGAAGGGGGGGGUCCGGCGGCGCGGCCCGGCCGGUGCGGCGAGCGGGAGAGCCUGACCUGCAGCUGCUGUAAAUCAAAGCGCUUCCAAUAUUGAAACAUCGAUCCCACAUUGGCCGCCAUCUUGAGACAUAUUGAGACAGAAUGAAAGAGGCUGGAGUUCCUGUCUUCACCCUUUCUCCGCUGCCUCCCUGCUCUACCAGUCUGUUCUGUGUCCAGGCAACUGCAAAAAGACAUUUCAAAGACUCCUGCCGUGCCAUGUAGAUGUUUUCUCUUGUUAGUUUGGACUGCAGGAGUUACAUCUUUUCACGUUGUUGCCAGUUUGAAAUGAAAGCUCCGUGGCUAGAUACCAAAGCUUUUCGCUAUAUAAUUUAGAUAAGUAUAAACAGUACAGCUGAUUUUAGGAAGUGCUGAGAAGCCCUAACUCUGCUGGAAGACAGACGCUGAGCACCUAUGAUUCCUAUUGUCUUCUGUGCAGGAUCGAGUCCCUUAUUUGCCAUUUUGUGUGGCAGCAAGCCCAAGGAAAUCUUGUUUGACAGCUCUGUUUUCUCAAAGUGCUGUCUUUCUUCGAGCUGGAUUCUGCAAAGAUCCUGCAGGGUACAGAGCUCCUCGGAGCAAGUGAUAAUUUGCUUUGUGCUCCUGCUGAAACGUACCUGGGAAAGACGGAAGAAGGAUCUUGGAAAAUGUGUGCAUCCUGGCAACAAGAUGGUUAGAAGAACGUUUUCCUUGAAUUAUUAUGUUUUGAGAAAUCAGCCUCAUCUGUUCAUUUGAGAAGGGUUUUCGUAAGGUUAGAUUUGAUCUGUGUAAAUGCUAACUUCUUUCAACAUGCACUAAUAGAGUAUUGAAAAAGUAAGUACAGUGGGUUUGAAGUUUAAAUCUCAGAUGACGGCAGUAACUAAUAGUGCUUCAGGAAUGCUUGCUACAGCCAAAAUAUUUGUAAGUAUGUUGUACAGAUUUCUGUUUCAUUUUUACCCAGGUAUAGUCAUACUUGCACUAUUUUAGGAAUUAGGCAAAUACCUGAUUAAAAUUUCUUUCCUAUUAAUGUCACUGUGUCAUAAAGUCUCACUGAUACAAUUAUGCACAUGGGGCCAUCAGUGGCAAUUGCUCUUGUUGUGCUUCACAUGUCAUUGUCCGGAAUGGACCUUUAUUCCAAGGGUCCCAAACUUGUCAGAAGCAAUUCAUUGUCACAGCUGCUCCUCUGGGCAGCAGUCUGCAUUCAUUAAGAUAUUUUGGACCAUAAGUCCAAUUUUAAUUUCCAUACUUAAGCUUCUAUUUGCCUUAGGAAUUCUAGCUCAUUUCCUUGGCCAGGACACUGAAAGAUGAGGUGCUGCUUCUCCCAGCAGUGCUGUAACUUUGAGGUUCUUCUCCACAAAUUCGUGGGUUUUCUUCUCUUUCACUUAAUGUGACUCCCAAAUUUCUAUCAGUUCCCACAGAAGAGUUCUUCUGGAGCCUUAUCUGUUCCCAUCUCUGCUCCUUGUCCAGCCCCUUCUCUCCUCACUUUCAUGGCUCUCAUCUUCACAUUUUCUUCAGUUGCUUCUUGUCCCCAGCUGCCUGGCUCCACAUGCCUGUGCCCACUGAAAGGAAUGUCUUGUUCUGAAAUCCCAGCCUUUCCACUGUGAAGGUGUCAUUCUGCUCACUAUUAAACCAGAUCUGAGAGCAAAGCAAGCUCCAUCUCUCGUUAUUACACCAUGCCAUUGCAUAGAGAACUCCAUAGGGAUGGCAGAGAACAGAGACAGCCAGAUAAUUUAUGUUGCUGGGAGAUUUAGUCCAAAUCAAGAUCAAAACCUAUAUAUGUCUUCCAAAUCACAGAUAACUUUUUUCCCCAGUUAUAGCCAUUGACUAGAAUUCUGUUUGAUUUAUAUCUGUUGUAGAGCCAAAGGUUUUGCAGCAUAUAAAUUGCAAGGGGAUUGCAAGACGUGGACACAAUGAUACGUAUGAGUUCGGGAAGCCCAGUGAGCAGAAACUGCUUGGAAGAGUACCAGGGAGAAGUGUCCCAUGUGCCUGCCCACUCUUCCCUGGGUGUCCAUUUGCGGUCACUGGCAGAGACAGGGGACUCAGCCUGAUGGACCAACAUGGGUAUUCCCACAUUCUCUGGUAAUUUGGGAAAGUUUUAGUGCAAAUCAUGUAGAUGGUGGCAUACAUGAUGUAAGCGUGAAAUCCUGUGACUGCUGCAAAGCCACAGAUACACACUGGUAGGUGGAAGAGAAGAAAGCAAUUCUCACAGAGGGCAGGGAAAACAGCCACAAUUAAAAGCAAAGUAAAUUUGGGUGGUGUGGUUACUUGCUGUUUAACUCUGAAGACAUUUAUAAGUACCCAGCAUAACCCACAACAGAUCUUCUUUGAGGAUUUGUGGAUUAACCCAUACCAACAAAAACAUGUGAUGAUAUUGUAGUGGUAUUCUCUUACCAUGUACAGGAGGAGUUAUUGAAGACCCCUAAAGAAUGAAUAUAUCACUGUGCCCAAUGAACUGAGUCAUUCUUUCCACACUGUUUGCAGC